UUCCCGCCCGCAGCCUCCCCACCCAACUGCUGGGCGGGUUCACCUGGACCACCAGGCACACCGCCAUCAUCAGCUGCCUUACUCAUGGAGGUUUGUCCAGUUCAGUCUCUAACCUGGAGGAGGUUGGUGCACCCCCUUCCCACCCCAUGACAACAUCAGAUGUACCAGGAGCACCAAGCAAAGCUUUAAUGGCUCCUGAGACUUUGGAGCAACACACCAAGUUAAGUGAACCACUGUGGUGUUAGAGAUGAGUGUGACCGUAUGAAGCAAUGAAAAUACCAGCUUUAACUAAGGAGAAUGGUGAUAAUACUUGCUGUCAUUUUAAACGAGGAAGAACGUGACAGAUACGUUAAUAAACUUGUAGUUGUAAUACAUACAUGGACACCUGAAUGCUACAAGUGAGCUCGUUUUGGCUCCCUCAUAUUUUGACCCAAAGAAAUCUGAUGACUUCCUGCAGUUUGACAAAUUGGCAUUCUCUUAAUUCUCACUGCACCUUUUUCUUUUAAAUUAAAAUUAAUAAUUAAAAAAGUAAAAAUUGCAAAAUUUUAAUCACAGGUUGUUCCAUCCUGCCUGCCAUUCAAAUGUCAAUGCUAUUAACUUCUAGAUCAAAUCCUGUCUGAUUGGUUGUCCAUUCUUGUCUUACCUCUGUUUGGAUGUGAUCAAUCUUUUCGGUUAAUGACCACAAGUUCUCGUUUGAGUUAAAGUCUGGAUUUUCCUGACCACAAGUCCAGGACGCCUGUGUUCUUACAUUUGGACCAGUUUUCUGCAGUUCAUCUUUGUACUUCCUAUAGAGUUGGCUUCUUUGCUGCAUUUCUUGUCCAAAGUUUUUGACCUCAACUGUGCUCUCACACCCACUUGCUGCCGAGGCUGAGCAAACUCUGCACUGGUGGAGAUGCAGUUUAUUGGCCUCCUGCUGAUGAACUUAAUCACGGUUCUUGCUGGACACUCUUUGAUAUCCUGAAGAUUUCUUCACUGCAGCUGAAUGUCACCUUGAAGUUGUUGAGGUCAUUUUGAUGCAAAGUGAUGACAGCUGCACGCUUUUUCAUUGGAGCGAGGUGAUCAUCCAGGAUGUAGCCCACCUUCCACCCAAAGACCACUGGAGAUGGCCAAUGGCCAAAGUCUUAGUGAGAUUAUGGCUUAUAGAUAAUGAAAUACAAAAAAAUAUAUAUUUUAAGCAGAAAUAUCAGGCUUUUCAAAUGACUGAUUACUGCAGGUGUUAAUUAGCAGUUUAGGGUGUGGCACCAAGAGCUUCCAUUCUUCAAAUAUUUGAGCUACACCUGUUUGAGAUAUGAUCUGUUCUUUAAAUGAAUCACAGGAAAGACCAGUGUCAGAAAUAUACAGACGUUUAUUUACAAACAUGUCUACCUUUGCAUAGAAAUUUAAAACUCAAAGUAAACAGAUUAUUGGAAAUUCCUGCUGCAUUUCUUUUAGCACAAAAAAGACGAGUGAAAAUCACGAGUUUUAGUUUUUCACAUAAGAUUAGUACGUCUUUAAAAUUAAUAGACAUCAAAAACACAUAUUUGUAYAUUUUGGUUCUUUGGAAUAAAAAAAACCCCCACUGUUCAGAGUUCAGUGAUUAAAUCAACUCUUGAGUGAAAUCUUGACAUUUUUACCAUCUAUAAAGAAAGAAAAAAGGCAAAAUGACACAUUUUUGGUGACAGAUCAGUUACAACUCAUCCCUGUUCGCCCUCAAUAAGACUUAUUGCUUCACAUUUUUAUUGAGAAAACAAAUGCAACUGUGAUAACUUUGG